rnacentral:rRNA from 1 species
UUCCGGUUGAUCCCGCCGGACCUGACUGCUAUCAGAUUGAUAUUAAGCCGUGUUAGUCAUUGUAGUAAUACAAGGCAGACAGCUCAGUAACACGUAGUCAACCUAACUUAUGGACGGAAAUAACCUCGGGAAACUGAGGAUAAUGUCCGAUAGAUCAUUAUGCCUGGAAUGGUUUAUGGUCGAAACGAAUAUCGCCGUAGGAUGGGACUGCGGGCUAUCAGCUUGUUGGUGAGGUAAUGGCCCACCAAGGCAUUUACAGCUACGGGCUCUGAGAGGAGUAGCCCGGAGAUGGGUACUGAGACAAGGACCCAGGCCCUAUGGGGCGCAGCAGGCGAGAAAACUUUGCAAUGUGCGAAAGCCCGACAAGGUUAAUCUGAGUGGUUUCUGCUAAAGGAACCUUUUGUUAGUCCUAAAAACACUGAUGAAUAAGGGGUGGGCAAGUUCUGGUGUCAGCCGCCGCGGUAAAACCAGCACCUCAAGUGGUCAGGAUGAUUAUUGGGCCUAAAGCAUCCGUAGCCUGUUCUAUAAGUUUCCGGUUAAAUCCAUAUGCUCAACAUAUGGGCCGCCGGAAAUACUGUAGAACUAGGGAGUGGGAGAGGUAGACGGUACUCGGUAGGAAGAGGUAAAAUUCUUUGAUCUAUUGAUGACCACCUGUGGCGA